GAUUCUGGCUCAGGAUGAACGCUGGCGGCGUGCCUAACACAUGCAAGUCGAACGAAGCUCCUGGAAUGAACCUUCGGGUGAUUGAAGGGAUGACUUAGUGGCGGACGGGUGAGUAACGCGUGAGCAACCUGCCUUUCAGAGGGGGAUAACGGUUGGAAACGACCGCUAAUACCGCAUAACACAACGAGAUCGCAUGGUCAUGUUGUCAAAGCUGAGGCGCUGAAAGAUGGGCUCGCGUCCGAUUAGGUAGAUGGCGGGGUAACGGCCCACCAUGCCGACGAUCGGUAGCCGGACUGAGAGGUUGAACGGCCACAUUGGGACUGAGACACGGCCCAGACUCCUACGGGAGGCAGCAGUGAGGGAUAUUGCACAAUGGGGGAAACCCUGAACCGCAGCAACGCCGCGUGGAGGAAGACGGUUUUCGGAUUGUAAACUCCUGUCUUAGGUGAAGAAGAGAGUGACGGUAGCCUAGGAGGAAGCCACGGCUAACUACGUGCCAGCAGCCGC
rnacentral:rRNA from 1 species